rnacentral:lncRNA from 1 species
GAAAAAUACUUGCUUUUAGACCGCAGACAGGUGGAGGCUGAAACUAAAAUGAAGUCAUCUGUGUGCUAGGCACUCAGCAUUCAUUGAUGAGAAAAUACAGACACAGUCCCUGCCUCCCCUGUGUGUGCACUGUAGUGUGAGCAGCAGACUCAUACAAGGCACAUUUGGCACCCGCACCUAGACACCCGGGCCCGUGUUGAGAACUUGGCUGGAGAUGAGGCUAUGCACUGUGUUUUGGCUCCCGGUGAAGAAACAAGCUGCAGACCACAGGAGCUUCGGCCUUGUGCCUAGCAUUUGCCACAACCGAGAAGAACGCCAUGGUGUGUCAACUGCAUAAGGAUUGGUUCAGACUGAACACCUGUGCUCAGAGUACCAAAAGGAAUAGAGAAAGGAGUCUCCAGGCUGGAAUCUCGGAAUGGGAAAAUGACCAGUAUCGCUUGAGAGCCGGAGACUUGCUGCAUUAGGCAAUGGAGAACAGCUGGAUGCUUGGGAAAAUAAGUCCUGUUUUCACUCGCAGUGGCUCUAUAAAUCCACACAGGCUAGGAAUGGA